GGGGAAUUGUUCGCAAUGGGCGCAAGCCUGACGACGCAACGCCGCGUGGAGGAUGAAGAUCUUCGGGUCGUAAACUCCUGUCGAGCGGGACGAAUGCUCUGCGGUUUAACACACCGCAGGGGUGACGGUACCGCUAAAGGAAGCCCCGGCUAACUCCGUGCCAGCAGCCGCGGUAAUACGGGGGGGGCAAGCGUUGUUCGGAAUUACUGGGCGUAAAGGGCUCGUAGGCGGCCAACUAAGUCGGAUGUGAAAUCCCCAGGCUCAACCUGGGAACUGCAUCCGAUACUGGAUGGCUUGAAUUCGGGAGAGGGAUGCAGAAUUCCAGGUGUAGCGGUGAAAUGCGUAGAUAUCUGGAGGAAUACCGGUGGCGAAGGCGGCAUCCUGGACCGACAUUGACGCUGAGGAGCGAAAGCUAGGGGAGCAAA
rnacentral:rRNA from 1 species